AAGAUUUUAGUUAAAAAUAUAACAAAAGCUUGUCGAGCUUUAAUUACUUUUAUAAAGUAAAUCUUA
rnacentral:tRNA from 1 species